GACAUUAAAAACCGCUAUAGGCAGUUCGUAAUGAACACAGACCGUGUUGACUAUAGAGGAAAAACGCAUGCGAAUGAGGAAGCAAGAGUGGUGGAACGCACCAUUACUACAGGUGGAAUGCAUGCGAACCCGGAAGUACCAGUGGUGGAACUCAUGAACCCGGAAGUCAUGAGAUAUGAUUACGGCAUUAUUAAAGUUCGGAUUGGACGAU